UACGAAGGGGGCUAGCGUUGUUCGGAAUUACUGGGCGUAAAGCGCACGUAGGCGGGUUGUUAAGUCAGGGGUGAAAUCCUGGAGCUCAACUCCAGAACUGCCUUUGAUACUGGCAACCUAGAGACUGGAAGAGGUUAGUGGAAUUCCCAGUGUAGAGGUGAAAUUUCGUAGAUAUUGGGAAGAACACCAGUGGCGAAGGCGGCUAACUGGUCCAGCACUGACGCUGAGGUGCGAAAGCGUGGGGAGCAAACAGG
rnacentral:rRNA from 1 species